rnacentral:hammerhead_ribozyme from 1 species
AUCUUGUUGACGAGUCCGAAACAGGGCGAAACGCGCGUCCUGGAC